rnacentral:rRNA from 1 species
GGGGGACAACGUCUCGAAAGGGACGCUAAUACCGCAUACGUCCUACGGGAGAAAGUGGGGGCUCUUCGGACCUCACGCUAUCAGAUGAGCCUAGGUCGGAUUAGCUAGUUGGUGAGGUAAUGGCUCACCAAGGCGACGAUCCGUAACUGGUCUGAGAGGAUGAUCAGUCACACUGGAACUGAGACACGGUCCAGACUCUAUACGGGAGGCAGCAGUGGGGAAUAUUGGACAAUGGGCGAAAGCCUGAUCCAGCCAUGCCGCGUGUGUGAAGAAGGUCUUCGGAUUGUAAAGCACUUUAAGUUGGGAGGAAGGGUUGUACGUUAAUACCGUGCAAUUUUGACGUUACCGACAGAAUAAGCACCGGCUAACUCUGUGCCAGCAGCCGCGGUAAUACAGAGGGUGCAAGCGUUAAUCGGAAUUACUGGGCGUAAAGCGCGCGUAGGUGGUUUGUUAAGUUGGAUGUGAAAUCCCCGGGCUCAACCUGGGAACUGCAUCCAAAACUGGCA